CCUACGGGGGGCUGCAGUGGGGAAUAUUGGGCAAUGGGCGCAAGCCUGACCCAGCAACGCCGCGUGAAGGAAGAAGGCUUUCGGGUUGUAAACUUCUUUUCUGAGGGACGAAGAAAGUGACGGUACCUCAGGAAUAAGCCACGGCUAACUACGUGCCAGCAGCCGCGGUAAUACGUAGGUGGCAAGCGUUAUCCGGAUUUAUUGGGUGUAAAGGGGGUGUAGGCGGGAAAACAAGUACGAUGUGAAAACCCAGGGCUCAACCCGUGACCUGCAUUUGAAACUGUUUUUCUUGAGUUCCGGAGAGGGCAUCGGAAUUACGGGGGUAGCGGUGAAAUGCGUAGAUAUUAGGAAGAACACCAGUGGCGAAGGCGGAUUGCUGGACCAUAACUGACGGUGAGGCGCGAAAGCGUGGGGAGCAAACAGGAUUAGAUACCCGAGUAGUC
rnacentral:rRNA from 1 species